rnacentral:misc_RNA from 1 species
UUGUACAACGGAGGUGUGAGGGCUGUCGCUGACCUUCAAAGGUCGUGCACGCCCAAGCACUUUCAUACAAUCCAUCUCACCCCUUUGUGCAUCACCGCGUGGGUCCCCCUUGCGGGAGGGCUUGCGUUUUCACAUAAAAACUUUUGAUACAGUAUAGAAUGUUCCUUUUUAUUUUGCGGUCACACGCAAUCAAUA